CCAUCGGCUUUUUUCAAAGUCACAAAUAUUUAUAAAAAACGUUGG
rfam:Lasius niger Lnig_2.1_10119, whole genome shotgun sequence.